rnacentral:rRNA from 1 species
GACGAACGCUGGCGGCGUGCUUAACACAUGCAAGUCGAACGGAAAGGCCCCCUUGUGGGGUACUCGAGUGGCGAACGGGUGAGUAACACGUGAGUAACCUACCCUUGACUUUGGGAUAACUUCAGGAAACUGGGGCUAAUACCGGAUAGGAGCUCCUGCUGCAUGGUGGGGGUUGGAAAGUUUCGGCGGUUGGGGAGGGACUCGCGGCUUAUCAGCUUGUUGGUGGGGGAGUGGCUCACCAAGGCGUUGACGGGUAGCCGGCCUGAGGGGGGGAGCGGCGGAAGGGGGACGGGGAGAAGGCUGAGGAGACGAGGGGAGGCAGCAGGGGGGAAGAGGGCACAAUGGGGGGAAGCCGUAGGCAGCAAGGUCGGGGGCGGGAGGAGGGCCGGCGGGGUGGAAACCGCGUACGCCGGUGACGAACCGGGAGCGACGGGAAGGGGUAAAGAAGCACCGGCUAACUACGGG